UGUGGUUUAACUCGAUGCUACACGAAGUAACCUUACCUGGGUUUGACAUCUAGUUGGUAGUGAAGCGUAAGCGGAGCGACCCUUCGGGGAGCCUAGACAGGUGCUGCAUGGCUGUCGUCAGCUCGUGCCGUGAGGUGUCGGGUUAAGUCCCGUAACGAGCGCAACCCUUGCCCUCCGUUAUACGUGUCAGAGGGGACUGCCGUCGGUAAGCCGGAGGAAGGUGGGGAUGACGUCAAGUCAGCAUGGCCUUUAUAUCCAGGGCUACACACACGCUACAAUGGCCAGUACAAAGGGGCAGCGAAGCCGCGAGGUGGAGCGAAUCCCAGCAAAGCUGGUCGUAGUUCGGAUUGCAGGCUGCAACCCGCCUGCAUGAAGCUGGAGUUGCUAGUAACCGCGCGUCAGCCAUAGUGCGGUGAAUACGUUCCCNGGGGUUUGUACACACCGCCCGUCACGUCAUGGGAGUCGAUAACGCCUGAAGCCGGUGGCCUAGCUCGGAAGAGAGGGCGCUG
rnacentral:rRNA from 1 species